rnacentral:rRNA from 1 species
GUACUAACCACCCAAAACCGGAUCGAUCACUCCCCUUCGGGGGUGUGGAGUUCUGGGGCUGCGUGGGAACUUCGCUGGUAGUAGUCAAGCGAAGGGGUGACGCAGAAAGGUAGCCGUACCAGUCAGUGGUAACACUGGGGCAAGCCGGUAGGGAGAGCGAUAGGCAAAUCCGUCGCUCACUAAUCCUGAGAGGUGACGCAUAGCCGGUUGAGGCGAAUUCGGUGAUCCUCUGCUGCCAAGAAAAGCCUCUAGCGAGCACACACACGGCCCGUACCCCAAACCGACACAGGUGGUCAGGUAGAGCAUACCAAGGCGUACGAGAUAACUAUGGUUAAGGAACUCGGCAAAAUGCCCCCGUAACUUCGGGAGAAGGGGGACCGGAAUAUCGUGAACACCCUUGCGGUGGGAGCGGGAUCCGGUCGCAGAAACCAGUGAGGAGCGACUGUUUACUAAAAACACAGGUCCGUGCGAAGUCGCAAGACGAUGUAUACGGACUGACGCCUGCCCGGUGCUGGAAGGUUAAGAGGACCCGUUAACCCGCAAGGGUGAAGCGGAGAAUUUAAGCCCCAGUAAACGGCGGUGGUAACUAUAACCAUCCUAAGGUAGCGAAAUUCCUUGUCGGGUAAGUUCCGACCUGCACGAAUGGCGUAACGACUUCUCAACUGUCUCAACCAUAGACUCGGCGAAAUUGCACUACGAGUAAAGAUGCUCGUUACGCGCGGCAGGACGAAAAGACCCCGGGACCUUCACUACAACUUGGUAUUGAUGUUCGGUACGGUUUGUGUAGGAUAGGUGGGAGACUGUGAAACCUCGACGCCAGUUGGGGCGGAGUCGUUGUUGAAAUACCACUCUGAUCGUAUUGGGCAUCUAACCUCGAACCCUGAAUCGGGUUUAGGGACAGUGCCUGGCGGGUAGUUUAACUGGGGCGGUUGCCUCCUAAAAUGUAACGGAGGCGCCCAAAGGUUCCCUCAACCUGGACGGCAAUCAGGUGGCGAGUGUAAAUGCACAAGGGAGCUUGACUGCGAGACUUACAAGUCAAGCAGGGACGAAAGUCGGGAUUAGUGAUCCGGCACCCCCGAGUGGAAGGGGUGUCGCUCAACGGAUAAAAGGUACCCCGGGGAUAACAGGCUGAUCUUCCCCAAGAGUCCAUAUCGACGGGAUGGUUUGGCACCUCGAUGUCGGCUCGUCGCAUCCUGGGGCUGGAGCAGGUCCCAAGGGUUGGGCUGUUCGCCCAUUAAAGCGGCACGCGAGCUGGGUUUAGAACGUCGUGAGACAGUUCGGUCUCUAUCCGCCGCGCGCGUCAGAAACUUGAGGAAACCUGUCCCUAGUACGAGAGGACCGGGACGGACGAACCUCUGGUGCACCAGUUGUCCCGCCAGGGGCACCGCUGGAUAGCCACGUUCGGUCAGGAUAACCGCUGAAAGCAUCUAAGCGGGAAACCUUCUCCAAGAUCAGGUUUCUCACCCACUUGGUGGGAUAAGGCCCCCCGCAGAACACGGGUUCAAUAGGUCAGACCUGGAAGCUCAGUAAUGGGUGUAGGGAACUGGUGCUAACCGGCCGAAAACUUACAACA